rnacentral:lncRNA from 1 species
GCAAUUUAUAAGCAUAACUUGCCUCAACUCUUCUUUUGUAUUAAAAUGACUAGAGAAGCUCAUAGCACAUUUCCUAAAUCAAAGUCACAAAACUAAUGAAGCAUGUAAUUUUGUGAAAAUCAAUUAGCAUUAGGUUUUAAGAGUCACCAAAUCCAAAGAGUAAUCUAUUGCUUUCAUUACCACUAUGGAGAAAAUGUUUUCUUAGUCUAAAUGAAAUGAAAACAAACAUUUAAACUAAUUGUUGCUUGUUAAAUUGAAGACCUAUUACUUAGUCAAGAAUUUAACCAACAAAGAUGACAUUCAUAUAUCAAUAUUCAUGACUAGAGAUAUAUAAACAUGAAUGAAUUUUUCAUAGAAAAUAUAAUCAUAAAUAUUCAACACAAGUUCAUGGAGUUCUUCAAAAUAACCAAAACAUUCAAGCAAUUAUAUCCAAGUCAACCAAAUGAAAAUCUAGCCAAGCAUGGCUAAGAUUAAACAAAAACAAGAGGGAUUAGAGGUACCAAACAUUGUCUUAGAUGCAAGAUGUAAGGAAAUUACACUAAUCUUCCAAAUAUUCUUCAAAUCUUCCCAAAACUUCUUAGAGAGAAAAAAAAAUGGAAUGUGUUCUUCAAGUUCCCCCAAAUGAGCCUCCAAUCUCCAGCUAAAGAGGGUCAAUUUCCGGAUUCAAAAAGAGACCAAAAGCUACCCACCAAACUUCCACAAAUAGAGUCAACAAGUCAAAACCCGGAAACAACUCAGCACAAUUCACGCGGACCGCGUAUGGAUCCACGCGGACCGCGUGGGUCACGCUGAAUGUGAGAGUUGGGCCAUUUAACAUGCAUUUAAGCCCAAUCUUCAUUUCUUCAACUUCAGCCCAUAAUCAUAACUCUUUAAGACCCAUUUGCCAUUCCAAAGCCUUCUAAAAAUUGACCCAACACUCCUCCAAUUUCUUGUAGCUCGAUUCCGUGCCGUCUCAUCAUCAUCUUUGCCCAUAAAUUAGAUCCAAAUUGAUUUCUUCUUUUACGCAUGUACCUAGCCCAAUCGCACCACUUUAAGUCCACAAGCAAAUCACAUGCCUCCAUGAGUCCCGCAUCCUUCUAAGCCUCCAAUAACAAAUAGUCUUUGGAAAAUCCUGCAAUUAAGCUCAAAAACUAGAAAGUACCCGGUGAAGGAGAAAAAUGACAAAAAAAGAAAAUAUGCAUGAAGAUUGACUAAAAUAGGAUGGAUUGUGCUAAAAAACUAUAAAAAGAAGUAAAUAAAAUGAAGCUAUCAAAUCACCCCAAGCUUAAACCUUACUUGUCCUCAAGUAAGGCAAGACUAAAAUGAACUUGGGACGAACUACCCUAGAAAUAAAAGGAAUGGAUAGAACCAUGGAACCUGUUCACCGUUAGUCAACAUGGUCAGAAUUGAUAUCGCUGCUAUCUCACAACUUUUUCAUCUGAUGACAAUGGAAUCAUAAACCACAGUCAGGAAAACUCCUUUAGGUGAGUAAGGAGGGAUGAGCAGUCGCAGCCUCAAUGGAACAUGCAUACAAUGAAGAACAUCUGUANAAAGCAGCUGGAUGGGCUCGGGUGGAGCUCUUCUUUAAAUGUACACUCUGAUCUCACGUUUGCCGGUUUCUCUCAUGUGUAACUAGGUUUAAUCGCUCGGGCACCGUUGUAGGAAUCGGAUCACUUGGUGUUGGCCCAAACCUCCCGUAGUAUCUGACUCGACAGUCUCCCUAACAUCACCAAUUUGCGAAAUACAACUCGAUCUAUAUACAAUAAAACAUACCUAAAUAAAUGAAUAUCAAACGUCGGGUGACCAAAAUGUUGGAAAAUUUAGUUCAAUAAUUGAACCGGUCACCCUUCUCAGAAUUCUACAGCUGGGAAUUUGCCUUCCCCCCUUUUUUUUUAAACAUACUUGAAAGGGUAGUAAUAUAAUCCGAAUGGUCUAAGCGAGAAAAUGACCAUGUGUGGAGCAUAAAGAUAUAAUGUAAGCUCCUCUUCAAACUUGUGAUUUUGAUUUUUUUUUCAAAAAUAAUGAAAAUGUCCACAUGCGGACUAAAAGACUUCUCUAAAAUCCUAAGAAAAUCGCAAAAAGAUAUGGUGAUGUAAAGAGACCGGAUAUGGAUUCUACUCGGGGACAAGCAUUAGUGCUUCAUCUUAACGGUUCAAACAUGGUCAAGUGUGAUCCUCUCGGCGGUAGUGACCGCAAGGCUAAGAACAUCCAUUGCUAUAGUAUAUCCUACAGUUGUUAGUAUUGUAUGCAUAAUUUUUCAUGAGACUACCUGGCCAUGAUCACUUACCCCUUUAAGCUACCAGCAUCUGAUCCCAAGUAUGAAAUCCCAAGUUGCAGCUAGUGGUUCCGGUUCGAUGGGUAAGAUAGCAACAAGAUCCUGGACCAAUAAUGAUACAAUAACUGUGAACCUGUUCCAUGGCAUCCAAGAGAGGUGAGAAUAAACAAACAAAAAUGCAUGAAUGUUAAUGCCUUAAGCUAAAUGUCAUGCAAAAAUAAAAAGAGAAAAAGAAUAAAAUAAAACCUUUUUGGAAAUUAAAAUAAAUAAAUAAAUAAAUAAAUAAAUAAAAACUAAGAUGAAUGCAAUUUAAGGCUAAGUGUUAUUCAACCUAAGCUAAAAUGUAUGAGAAAAAAAAAAGAAAACAAAAAGGGAAUACCCCACCCCAAGCUUAGAAAUAAGCAUUGUCCUCAAUGCUUGGGGCGAGGCGAAAGUACCUAAACCGGCGGAUCGGGAGGAGGAUACAUGUAUUGGGGGUAGGGGUAAGGGUAAGGUGGAGGGGGAUAAGGAUGGGUGGGUGGGGGGUAUGGAUAGGGAGGCGGAAGUGGGACGUUCUCGAAAUGGUUUUGGGAUUGGUGCCAUCCCCACAUAUGGUGCGUUUGUUGGGACAUGAUUUGGUGUGAGACACAAAGCGCAUCGAAUCGCUUGGCAAAAUUGGGGGGAAGCGGGUAAUACCCGGGAGGGGCUUGAGGCUGGGCGGGCUAUGGACCAUGGGUGGGCUCAUCGUCGGGCUCGUCAUCCAUAGGCAUCUCGUCAUCAUCUUGAUCUUGGAGCACAUCCUCAUUGACUGACUGAGUGAUGGUCCUCGCGAGUCUCCACUGAGUGCGAUCGUGGAAGGUGAAGUUGGUGACUCGAGGGUCGGGAAGAACGAGAUACCCGACCCCUUGAAGACAAAACCACGUGAAGCUGCUCCUGUUCCUACGACGGAUGCGGUGCAUGUUUAUGAGGGCGCGCUCAUCCAAAAGAUUUUUGCUGUCAACAGGCUGGAAUUCAUUAGGGAGCUCGAUGUCAAAACCGCGAGCCAAAAGUGUGACAAAUCCCCCAAUGCAAAUAUCACUGGACAUCUUGGAUCUCAUGUGGGUGCAUUUGUGGAAGAAGAAGGAAGCAAAGUCCGGGAUUGGCGGCCUUUCACGCCUCGUCAUACACCAAAGGAAGAAGAGUUCAUUUUUUGUGACCUAGCCGGCUUCUUUGCGGGCAAAAACCGUACACACCAGGAUGCGAUGGGCAAUGCGGAGGCAUGGGUGGAUGAUAGAUGUUGCUUUAUCCGGACCAGCACACGAGAAGAUACCCUCGGUGAUUUCCGUCCAAAAUGUCUCGUGAUUGAACUCAACAGGUAGGACGUCAAAAAUCGUGGAUGUGUUUGAAGAAGGCAAGCCCAAGAUGUUGUUUAUCGUUGCAAAAUCGAUGUACCUUCGGUCCCCUAGAAGCUGGAAUGCGGCUUUCUUUUUUUCACUGUCGUACCCGCUGUCGGCGAGAAACUCUCUAGUGGGGAGCUCGUAAGUGUGCGCCAUGAGGUUGAGAAGGUUUUCCCACCCAAUGUUACGAAACAAUUGGGUGACCCCUUCAAGAACCCCAAGUGAUAUAAACGUGGGCUUGCACACGAAUUUGGUAGAUGCAACUUUUCGAGGUAAGAUCCUUGUGUAGUUUUCGGAUGCCUUGGCAUCCCGAAACCUUGGGACAUCGGGAGAAUCGCUUUGAUCUCUUGUCGGGGCUUUGCCUCGGCUAGCAGCCGAACGCUUCCUAGAAGUAGACAUGGGCUUCCUGCACGAAAAAAAUGACCACUACACGAACCACAAUUUCAACAAACAAUAUGUCAACCCCAAAUCACCAACUAAUUUCCUAUGAGUUUCUAAGGCAAUUCAAUAAUCAAAGCAAGAAGGGAUUCCUAAAUUCAUUGGAUACAAUAGCAUAUGAAUGGACAUGCAUCUUGAUCAAUUAAACAAAGGAAAGAAGAUACCCGUUUUUGUUGAAAGUUCAAAGUUUACGCGCGAAAACUUGGUAUUUGACAAUCUUGCAACUCUUCACCCCAAGCUUUAAACUUUUGUUUGAUAUCCCGAGAUAAGCAAUUUACCGCGAAAACCCAACGAAUCCGGCAAUGGCUUGAAAUUCUGGCGAAAUGUUCCGGCGAGCUUUGGGAAAUAUUUUUGGUGGGGUUUGUAGCCUUGCCCAAGAGGAGCACAAUGGUGGUGGUGGAAUCGCGAGAGGUGGCCGGAGUUGGCCGAAAUCGGCCNAAAGUGGCGGCAUGAGAGUGGUGGCGCCCCGAGAUACAGCAACAGAUCGGACCGUUGUUUUAGUGGGGUUUGUAGAGCUCUGAAUUUGGAGAAGAAUGGCGGUGGUCUCGCGAAAUUCCGACCGGCGGUUUGAUGGGAAAGUGAGUUUUAGUGAUGGAGAUGAAGGUUCUUUAAUGGAGGUUAGGGAGAAAAGGAGAAGAAGUGGGGAAGAAGAAAGGGCCGGCUGGAUAUAAGGUGGGGCAAUUGGCGGUCAAACCCGGUCAAAUAAAAAGUCAACGCUGGUCAACAGGUCACGCGGACGAGUUAUCGAGUACACGCGGACCGCGUGUGUAGGCCAAGAAGAUUCUUCACGACACGCGAUCACCUCUGACCACAAACGGCCCGUUAUAAUAAAUACGCGGACGAUGCAUCGGGUACACGCGGACCGCGUGAGUUUCACUGCAUGUCUUCUGUUUUCUGUUUAAUGGACGCGGACGAUAUAGGGAUGAUACGCGGACCGUGUUAAUAAACACGCGAACAAGGGCUCGAUAACACGCGGACCGCGUGUGUUGAGAUGAAACUCUUCUGUUUUUCUGAUAAUGGACGCGGACGAUAGAGAGACCACACACGGACCAUGUUAAUAAACACACGGACAGGGGCUCGAGCACACGCGGACCGCGUGUGUUGAGCUGACAUACUCCAACANUUCAAAAGUUGCAUCAAAACAUUUUCAAAACUUCUUUAUUCGAACGUAGAAAUAUGAAAGCAUAAAGCUUUCCAAAAAUGCCCCUCUUUAACGUCUUAGGCGAGACGUCCUUCUAGCUUGGUUCAACACACCGGGACAUCCAAGUGGAUGAUUUCAAUAACACUUGCAUUAAAACCUUCAUAGAAUGGCUUUAAUCGGUGCCCAUUGACUUUGAAAAUUUGUCCCGUUUCUUCACUUUGGAUUUCGACCGCUCCAUGGUCAAAAGUCUUUAUUACAACAAAUGGGCCAAUCCACCUUGAUCUUAAUUUGCCCGGGAAUAACUUCAACCGUGAAUGGUAAAGUAAGACCCUAUGUCCCGGUUCAAAAUUCUUCCGGGUGAUGGACUUGUCGUGGAAGAGCUUCGUUUUCUCCUUAUAAAUCCUUGCGUUUUCAUAGGAGUCAUUUCUCAAUUCUUCUAGCUCUUGGAGUUGAAGUUUCCUAUGCCUUCCCGCCUCGUCAAUGUUGAAAUUGCAUUGCUUGACCGCCCAAAAUGCACGGUGCUCUAACUCGACGGGAAGAUGACAUGGCUUUCCAAAGACCAACCUAAACGGGGACAUUCCUAUCGGGGUCUUGUACGCAGUCUGAUAGGCCCAUAAGGCGUCGUCAAGUCUCAAACUCCAAUCCUUCCUUGUCAGAUUCACUUUUUUCUCUAGAAUAGACUUCACUUCACGAUUCGAAACCUCCGUUUGACCAUUCGUUUGAGGGUGAUAGGUUGUAGAGACACGAUGGGUCACGUUGUACUUUUUCAAUAAAGCUUCCAUCAUUUUGUNCUCCAUCAUUUUGUUGCAAAAGUGCGUCCCUCUAUCACUAAUCAAAGCCCUAGGCACACCAAAUCUCGCAAAAACAUUAGACUUUAAAAACUCGAUAACCGUUUUGGCAUCGUCCGAUCUUGUGGCUUUGGCUUCAACCCAUUUAGAAACAUAGUCAACCGCAAGUAAAAUAUAAACGUUGCCAAAUGAGACGGGAAAUGGGCCCAUGAAAUCAAUCCCCCAUACGUCAAAAAUUUCACAAACAAGGAUUGGAUUUUGGGGCAUUUGGUUCUUUUGCGAAAUGUUUCCCGUCCUUUGGCACCGCUCACAACUUUUGCAAAACAUAUAACAAUCGCGUGACAUGGUUGGCCAAAAUAAUCCACACUCAAGGACCUUUCUCAAAGUCCGGCUAGGUCCGAAGUGUCCCCCACAAGCAAAUUCAUGACAAAAUUGCAAAAUGGAUUGGUGCUCUUGUUGGGGCACACAUCGCCUAAUGAUUUGAUCGGGACAAUGUUUCCACAAAUAAGGUUCAUCCCACACAUAGUAUUUUGCAUCACUUUUCAACUUGUCUUUUUGAGCACGUGUGAAUGUGUCGGGAUACCUUUUUGUGACCAAAAAGUUAAUGAUAUUGGCAUACCAAGGAAUAGAUUGGGUAAGGGAAAAGAGAUGCUCAUCCGGAAACUCGUCCCGCAAUGGGAGAGGAGUUUCAUUUGAAGUGAUCCGACUUAGAUGAUCAGCAACGAGGUUCUCACAUCUGCUCUUGUCCCGGAUUCUCAAGUCAAAUUCUUGUAACAGUAGGAUCCACCAGAUGAGUCUCGGCUUUGCAUCUUUCUUCGUCAUCAAGUACUUAAGAGUUGCGUGAUCCGAAUACACUAUGACCUUGGUACCAAGUAGGUAUUGUCUAAAUUUCUCCAAGGCGAACACUAUGGCCAAUAGCUCCUUCUCCGUGGUAGAGUAGUUGCUUUGAGCAUUGUCUAGUGUCCUUGAUGCAUAAUAGAUCACGUGGGAGGCCCUCCCAUUCUUUUGACCCAAAACGGCGCCUAUCUCUUUGUAAAAAUACUUGGAAUAUGACAAUAAAUUGAAUAUGGGGGUGUUUGAUGUUUUGAAAUACUUGAAACAAAUUAGAAUUAACUAUGAUUUAAAUGGACAAUUGCAACAAAAAUAAGAGUUUGAUGUAAAAUCAAUAAGAGAAAGAUGAUUGACUUUGGACUUUCAUCACUUGAACAUUUGGUCAAAUAAUCAUGAGAAUACCAAGGUGCAAUACUUGUGUUUAAAAUCUAACUUGGCUAUAGCAAUUUAUAAGCAUAACUUGCCUCAACUCUUCUUUUGUAUUAAAAUGACUAGAGAAGCUCAUAGCACAUUUCCUAAAUCAAAGUCACAAAACUAAUGAAGCAUGUAAUUUUGUGAAAAUCAAUUAGCAUUAGGUUUUAAGAGUCACCAAAUCCAAAGAGUAAUCUAUUGCUUUCAUUACCACUAUGGAGAAAAUGUUUUCUUAGUCUAAAUGAAAUGAAAACAAACAUUUAAACUAAUUGUUGCUUAUUAAAUUGAAGACCUAUUACUUAGUCAAGAAUUUAACCAACAAAGAUGACAUUCAUAUAUCAAUAUUCAUGACUAGAGAUAUAUAAACAUGAAUGAAUUUUUCAUAGAAAAUAUAAUCAUAAAUAUUCAACACAAGGUCAUGGAGUUCUUCAAAAUAACCAAAACAUUCAAGCAAUU